AUUAACAGUACAUACAGUAGAUACGACAUGAUCCAGUAUGAACUUUUCCCCAUCAUUCAUGGAGGAUUGUAUGCUGACUAUAAUGUAUGCUGAAAUAAUAAUUGGCCAUUGCAACAUUACUCAUCUGCUGACUGCGUGGGUGCCAUGUUGCAAGGCAGUUUCUCAGUGAGCAAAGGGAAGGAGAACAAGAAUGGAUCAAAGGAUUGGUGUUAAAAGAAUUGCUUCAGACAUGAGAGGCAUAACAGUCAUGCUGUAACCAGGCAACCAGGGUAAUCUGUGAAACUAAGGGAAGGCAGAUGGCAUGUGUAGACACAAGGAACUGCUUCUUCUUAACUUUAGACCAUACUGGCAAUCGGACCAACUUUCUCAAGCUGCCAUGUCAGAGUGAACCAGUGA
rnacentral:lncRNA from 1 species